GAUAACCUUUUGCGAAAUCUUUUGGAGAAGAACUAGGGCGUUUAUACUCUUAAGUGCCCUGUUUAAAGAUUGAAAACUGGGGAUUUGAUACACUAGAUUGUCGGGUAUAAAUCUGUACUCUAUUUAACCCGUCAAAUAUUUUCAUGAAGAUAAAAGUGUGUUUAUAUUUCUGUCGCCUUUACGUAUGUACAUUUUCCGGUGUUUAACUUAAUUUUUUAUUUCAAUCGUGUAAUAAUGUACAUUUGAAUUGAUUAACAAUAUCCUUAAUACGUUCGGUGUCAUAUUAUGGAUUAAUAAGCAUUCAAAAAUUUUAUGGAUUAAUACGCAUUCGAAAAUAUGUGGAUAAUAUCGUGCAUCUUGCUUAUAUAUGGAAUCAGUGUUAUCGACAAUGUGAACGGGAAAUCUUGGAAGAAAACUUCCUUAUUAAGGAAAAUUGAACUCGCAAAAUCCACUGGUAAUGAUAGUUGUUUGACAAAUGAAAAUGACAAGCGGGACAACACAUUUAAUCCGGUUUUACAAAAUGUUACGUCAUUAUUUGAAUAUUUGAAUACCGCGCAUCGUGAUUCAUCAUAAGGUAAAGCGCUCUCGGAAGAAGCGACAGUCACGGCAAAGGAAUUGCGCAGGUCAGUGUGAAGAUUCUCUGUGUUCUUGGCACGAGGAAUAUGAUGAAGAAAGCACGAGAAUCCCGCGAUUUAUCAAGUAUGCAGUAUGUGACAGUGCAACAUGUAACUUUGGUUUUGGUGGCUUAGAUUUCCGCACGACGUAUUCUCUUCAAGUUCGUACACAGUGUGAUCUGGUUAAAACGGAUAUCCUUGUUACGAACACUGAUGAUGGCGAACAGAGAUGGAUAACUAAUUGGCCAAUAGCUUGCGUCUGCACAGAGAGGUUUGCAGUUCCUUCAGUAGUGUACCGUCAUGAGGGCAGACAUUCUGGGCAGGCUGUUGACGUUGACAUCACACACAAUGUGCCACUUGCAGCAGUGUCACGUCAGCAAAUCAUUCUGAAUGACGUCAGACGCAGACCGUUAACUCACUCACAGAGACGCAGGUUACAUAAUCAACAACGUCACAUGCAACGCGUUGAAACGUGGGAACAGAUGAUGCUGAGGAAGUACAACAGAACAUAAGUGACACUGCUAUGUAGUCAUUUUUUAAAGAAGGAAAACAACUCCGACUCACCUUGCCCUUUCUACGCUAAAAAAUUGGACUCCAGAAAAUAACAUAUAUAGAUCGAUAUAAAUCUUUAAGUAGGUUCUCUUCAUUUCUGAGACAACUCAUGUGAUAAACAGCAGUGGGUUUUCUAUUUAUUCAUUUUAUUUACAACACUUUUACAAACACGUUCACUUGACAUAAACUUGUUCAAGUUUAGCUGUAUUUCAAACAAUCAAGAGCGAUUAAUAGGAUGCCAACAGAUUAAGCUUUAAAGCCUUUUUACAAUUUCAUGCAAAACUCCCCCGGUGAGGGGAAUGAAUAAAUCUUCAAAAUUAAACUUAAGAAAAGUAUUUAAGUUACCAUUAUAUAUUCAAGAACCGUGGUGAAACUACAUGUUAAUUUCUACCCCGUUACCAACGGAGUAAAAGGAAUUUCUACAUAUUGUGACAAGUAAUAUGUUAUUUCUUUUGAUAGUAAGUACCUUGCAUUUAUUGUGACUCUUUUCAACAUUUUACUGAUCACAAAUCUGGGGUUAACUUCUUUAAAAAAUGCAAAGUAAUUUCCAAGGAUUCCCACAGUUUGCCGCUGCUCUGUUACAAAUACAACAAAAGAUUAAUAUUAAACGAAAAUGAUCAGUAAAUUCUUCGCUUCAUGUCACGACAACCGUUUUCUGGUGACCAUGGAUAAUGUUCUGGUUGAUAUGAUUUGAAAUGAAUUUGAACAAGUAAAAUAAA